AUGCUUUCACAACUUGACUUCAAAAUAUUUGGUUUGGAGACCAUCAAAGAUCAAUAUGUGCAUGAUGCUGAUUUUAAAGAUGUAAUGCAGAAUUGUAAAGAAGGAAGAAUGUGGAACAAGUUUGUUGUUAACGAUGGAUUUGUGUUUCGUGCUAACAAGCUAUGCAUUCCAGCUAGCUCCGUUCGUCUUUUGUUGUUGCAGGAGGCGCAUGGAGGAGGAUUAAUGGGACACUUUGGCGUGAAGAAGACGGAGGACGUACUUGCUACACAUUUCUUUUGGCCAAAGAUGAGACGGGAUGUUGAGCGGCUGAUUUGA
rnacentral:rRNA from 1 species